GAUGAACGCUGGCGGCGUGCCUAAUACAUGCAAGUCGAGCGAACAGAUGAGGAGCUUGCUCCUCUGACGUUAGCGGCGGACGGGUGAGUAACACGUGGAUAACCUACCUAUAAGACUGGGAUAACUUCGGGAAACCGGAGCUAAUACCGGAUAAUAUAUUGAACCGCAUGGUUCAAUAGUGAAAGACGGUUUUGCUGUCACUUAUCGAUGGAUCCGCGCCGCUUUAGAUAGUUGGUAAGGUAACGGCUUACCAAGGCGACGAUGCGUAGCCGACCUGAGAGGGUGAUCGGCCACACUGGAACGUAGACACGGUCCAGACUCCUACGGGAGGCAGCAGUAGGGAAUCGUCCGCAAAGGGCGAAAGCCUGACGGAGCAACGCCGCGUGAGUGAUGAAGGUCUUCGGAUCGUAAAACUCUGUUAUGAGUGAAGAACAAAUGUGUAAGGAAAUAUGCACGUCUUGACGGUACCUAAUCAGAAAGCCACGGCUAACUACGUG
rnacentral:rRNA from 1 species